UANUUUGAUGCUGGCUCAGAACGAACGCUGGCGGCGUGCUUAACACAUGCAAGUCGAACGCGAACGAGUUCUUCGGAACUUUAGUAGAGUGGCGCACGGGUGAGUAACGCGUAAGUAAUCUACCCUCGCAUCUGGGAUAACCCACCGAAAGGUGUGCUAAUACCGGAUACGUCUAUGUUAAUAUCUUUUUUAUAGAGAAAGGUGGCCUCUGAUUCAAGCUACUGUGCGGGGAGGAGCUUGCGUACCAUUAGCUAGUUGGUAGGGUAACGGCCUACCAAGGCGACGAUGGUUAGCGGGUCUGAGAGGAUGAUCCGCCACACUGGAACUGAAACACGGACCAGACUCCUACGGGAGGCAGCAGUGAGGAAUAUUGCGCAAUGGGGGCAACCCUGACGCAGCGACGCCGCGUGGAUGAUGAAGGCCUUCGGGUUGUAAAAUCCUGUCAGAUGGGAAGAAGUGCUAUAUGGUUAAUAUCUGUAUAGUUUGACGGUACCAUCAAAGGAAGCACCGGCUAACUCCGUGCCAGCAGCCGCGGUAAUACGGAGGGUGCAAGCGUUGUUCGGAAUUACUGGGCGUAAAGCGCGCGUAGGCGGCUAUGUAAGUCAGAUGUGAAAGCCCGCGGCUCAACCGUGGAAGUGCAUUUGAAACUGUAUAGCUUGAGUACUGGAGGGGGUAGUGGAAUUCCCGGUGUAGAGGUGAAAUUCGUAGAUAUCGGGAGGAAUACCGGUGGCGAAGGCGACUACCUGGCCA
rnacentral:rRNA from 1 species